rnacentral:rRNA from 1 species
UCCGUAGGUGAACCUGCGGAAGGAUCAUUACUGAGAGUACUGGGCUCUGCCUAGCUACUUUUACCCAUGUUUUUUACGUACCAAAGUUUCCUCGGCGGCUUCGUCCGCCGGUUGGACACAAUCAAAACCCUUGUAGUUGCAGUCAGCGUCUGAUAAACUUAAUAGUUACAACUUUCAACAACGGAUCUCUUGGUUCUGGCAUCGAUGAAGAACGCAGCGAAAUGCGAUACGUAGUGUGAAUUGCAGAAUUCAGUGAAUCAUCGAAUCUUUGAACGCACAUUGCACCUCUCGGUAUUCCGGGAGGUAUGCCUGUUCGAGCGUCAUUUGUACCCUCAAGCUCUGCUUGGUGUUGGGUGUUUGUUCCGCCUCUGUGUGUGAACUCGCCUCAAAACAAUUGGCAGCCGGCGUACUUGUUUCGGAGCGCAGCACAUUUUGCGAUCCAGAUCAACGUACAGCGGCAUCCAAGAAGCCUUAUUUAACGCUCUUGACCUCGGAUCAGGUAGGGAUACCCGCUGAACUUAAGCAUAUCAAUAAGCGGAGGGAAGUCGGACUGGCCAAGGGGCACACCAGGGGGGGGGGAUA